UGUUGUUGUGAUGUACGGACCA
rnacentral:siRNA from 1 species